UACGAAGGGGGCUAGCGUUGCUCGGAAUCACUGGGCGUAAAGCGCACGUAGGCGGCUUCUUAAGUCAGGGGUGAAAGCCUGGAGCUCAACUCCAGAACUGCCUUUGAUACUGAGGAGCUUGAGUCCGGGAGAGGUGAGUGGAACUGCGAGUGUAGAGGUGAAAUCGUAGAUAUUCGGAAGAACACCAGUGGCGAAGGCGGCCCUCUGGUCCAGUACUGAC
rnacentral:rRNA from 1 species